AGAUCGCCACUCCACCACCUGCCCGACCUACACGGUCGUUACGGAUCAAAUGAAAUCCAGGAAGAGAGUAGGAAGUAGAAGACAGUCUGAGAAUAAAGAAUUUAUAGUUUCACCGAGCGAAGGGAUACUAUGAAAGCUGUCAUUACUGCUCAAUCCAUCAGAAGAAAAAGAAAGAAAAGUUUCGUCCAAAUCGUCAUUGUUUCUAGACAUUUUUAAAUUAAAUAUUCAGCAAAUAAAAUAAGUAAAAAUAUAAAGAUAAAUAUAUAAAAUAUAUAUGUAAAAUAAUAAUAAUAUAUAUUAAUUCUAUAAUUACAAAAUAAAAAUAGGUAAAUGAAUAAUUAUACGUUAAUUAAUUUCAUAUGAACACUCACCCGCCAAUUGCCUAGGAAUAAUCACUUAAACACAAACAUAACAAAAUAGAAACAAUAAUAACAUUAAAAACUAACAUUAACAAAAAAAAAAAAAAAU